UACGUAGGGUGUAAGCGUUGUCCGGAAUUAUUGGGCGUAAAGAGCUCGUAGGCGGUCUGUCGCGUCGGCUGUGAAAUCCCGAGGCUCAACCUCGGGUCUGCAGUCGAUACGGGCAAACUAGAGUAUUGCAGGGGAGACUGGAAUUCCUGGUGUAGCGGUGAAAUGCGCAGAUAUCAGGAGGAACACCGGUGGCGAAGGCGGGUCUCUGGGCAAUAACUGACGCUGAGGAGCGAAAGCGUGGGGAGCGAACAGG
rnacentral:rRNA from 1 species